rnacentral:rRNA from 1 species
UCAGGCUGCAACUCGCCUGCAUGAAGUCGGAAUUGCUAGUAAUCGCAGAUCAGCAUGCUGCGGUGAAUACGUUCCCGGGCCUUGUACACACCGCCCGUCACACCAUGGGAGUCGGUAACACCCGAAGUCGGUAGCCUAACCGUAAGGAGGGCGCCGCCGAAGGUGGGAUUGAUGACUGGGGUGAAGUCGUAACAAGGUACC